rnacentral:misc_RNA from 1 species
AACGCAACUUGCGCCCACGUCCCUCGGGACAAGGGCAUGUCUGCCUCAGCGUCGGCUUCAACCCUCGCGGCUCGUUCCUUUUCCAUCGAGCGAACGAGCCCGCGGAUCUGGCCCUCUCACCCGUGUCUCGUCCACUACUCGACGACCCACGAUUGCGGUGGGUGGGCUGAAGCGCAGAGGCUCGAGCAUGGACCCCGUUCGCAGGGCGUCGACUUGGCAGGUAGGAUGUCCUACACCCACUGUCGACGGCCGAGGGGCUCGUGCUGGAGGCCCAGCAGGAACCGGGGAAGGGAGGCGUCGUUGGUUGGUUGGCUGUCGGCUGGUCGAGAGUGGCGUCGGUCACUCGGAACCACCCCCGACAACAACAACCCAAACCACAAACCCCCCCGGCAAACCAUCGACUUUACGACCUGAGCUCAGGCAAGGCUACCCGCUGAACUUAA